rnacentral:rRNA from 1 species
GACAGAGGGUGCAAACGUUUGUUCGGAUUUACUGGGCGUAAAGCGCGUGUAGGCGGCUUUGCAAGUCGGAUGUGAAAGCCCACGGCUCAACCGUGGAAGUGCAUCCGAAACUGCAUGGCUGGAGUCUCGGAGAGGAAGGUGGAAUGCUUGGUGUAGAGGUGAAAUUCGUAGAUAUCAAGCAGAACACCUGCGGCGAAGGCGGCCUUCUGGACGAUGACUGACGCUGAGACGCGAAAGCGUGGGGAGCAAACAGG